AGGACUGGAUCACAACCCAUUGAUUUAGAAUGUGUUUUGCUCAUAAUAGGUCGUAACCUUGAGUAUCCUCUGAUUAUUUUGUUGCUUGUUCUGUACAGAUUGGUGAGGAAGAUUGUGAACCUGGAUAAUCACAUUGCAGGAGCCACAGAUGUGCAAUAUUGUCUGUCGGUUUACACCUGAUGCCAAAACUGUAAAGCAGUUUAAAGAGGAGAUAGAUGAUGAGUAUUGAGUGAACAUAACAAGCAUUUACUGUCCUUAGCUGAAGACAGCUAGGGAAGCAGCAAAAUUUGCCGUUACAGGAAGUGCCAUUGGAGCUGUAUCAACUGCUGGACUUGUGUGGAAAUAUUCAAGGAGUUUGCAUGAAGUGCAAACCAGGACAUGGUUACUUUGACAUCAUGUCCUGCAAUUAUAUACAGUGCACGAUGUAUCGGUGAGGAAGAUUGUGAACCUGGACAAUCACAUUGCAGGAGCCACAGAUGUGCAAUAUCUAGAUACCAUGAGCUUGGUAUGUUUAUGAAUUGGCUUCCUCUGCAGCUGGGUUUGCUUAUCUCGGUAUACCCUACUUUUACAUCAUAUUAUUUAUUGUUAUAUGAUAAAUAAACAGCUGCAUAUGAAAAGCUAGUAUCUUCUUUGGUAGCGUCAAGUUCCACUGCCAUGGUAGCUUUAGCUAGCCAUGUUAAGUGCUUGAAGCUAUGGA